CCCUUAGAUGUCCUGGGCCGCACGCGCGUUACACUGAUGCAUUCAACGAGCUUAUAACCUUGGCCGAGAGGCCUGGGCAAUCUUGUUAACGUGCAUCGUGAUAGGGAUAGAUUAUUGAAAUUAUUAAUCUUGAACGAGGAAUUCCUAGUAAACGCAGAUCAUCAAUCUGCAUUGAUUACGUCCCUGCCCUUUGUAUACACCGCCCGUCGCACCUACCGAUUGGAUGGUCCGGUGAAGCCUCGGGAUUGUGGUUCUUGCCGCUUUAUUGUGGCGUGACCGCGAGAACUUGUCUAAACCUUAUCAUCUAGAGGAAGGUGAAGUCGUAACA
rnacentral:rRNA from 1 species